GCGUGAUGUGUAGUAUAUUACCUUGGGGUGGUAGAGGUCGCAGGUUCAACUCCUGUCGCUCCGACCA
rnacentral:tRNA from 1 species